AAUAAGCUAAAUAAGAGCGUAUGGGGAAUGCCUAGGCUCUCAGAGGCGAUGAAGGACGUGAUAAGCUGCGAAAAGUUGCGGGGAUUGGCACAUACAAAUUGAUCCGCAAAUAUCCGAAUGGGGCAACCCACUAUAUUGAAGAUAUAGUAUUCUGAACUUGUUUCAGAGGCAAACCCAGGGAACUGAAACAUCUAAGUACC
rnacentral:rRNA from 1 species